GAGGAUGGGAAUGGGAAAGACUGGAAUGAACCGGACAAGGUUUUCCUAUGUUCACAAAUGAAUACACAAGCAGUGAAACUCCACAUCAUGGACCACUACAGAAGGGGAAGUUAUACUCCAUGUAUGUAUAAUAUGUCAGAAUAUAUUCUAUUGUCAUGUGUAACUAAAAAGUACAAAUAAGACUUUUUUAAAAAGAGAUAACAGACCAUAGUCACAUGAGCAAUACAUUCAAUUAAUGAAAAAAUAAUUUAAAACUCUCCAAAAAGAAAUCUCCAGACCUACCUUAUGGUCAUCUGUAAUACAGAGAAUUCUACCUGAGGUUUAAAGAAAAAUUAUUAUCAACCAUACAAAAAUCUCUUCCAGAAAAUAAAAGAGAAUUAAAUACUUCCUAAUUCAUUUUAUGAAGUUUUAUUACCCUGAUACCAAAACAGAUGAAAAUAGUGUAAAAUAUGAAAACUGUGGACUAAGAAAGAUCUCUAUGAAUAUACACACAAAAUUCUUUAACAAAAUAUAGCAAAUUAUAGAAUUUAGCAAUAUAGAGAAUUAUACCCCCAGGAAUGCAAAACAGCUCAAAAUAAUUUUUUUUUUUGGACUAGAGAUUGAACCCAGGGCACUUUGCUCUUAAGCUACAUCUGUAGCCCUCUUUACUUCUUAAUUUUUUCUGUUUUGUUUUUGGUUUUUUGAGAUAGGGACUUACUCAGUUGGUUAGGCCUCACUAAAUUGCUGAGGCUGGCCUUGAACUUGCAAUCCUCCUGCCUCAGACUCCUAAACUGCUGGGAUUACAGGCAUGUGGCACCAUGCCCACCUACAGCUCAGUAGUUUUUUAAAAAUUAGUGUAGGGCUGGGGAUGUGGCUCAAGCGGUAGCGUGCUUGCCUGGCAUGCGUGCGGCCCGGGUUCAAUCCUCAGCACCACAUACAAACAAAGAUGUUGUGUCCGCCAAAAACUAAAAAAUAAAUAUUAAAAUUCUCUCUCUCUCUCUUAAAAAAAAAUCAGUGUAUUCUGGAUAUUUGCAGGAUAAAGGAGAAAAAUUACAUGGCCAUAUUAAUCAGUACAGAAAAAGCAUUUGGCAAAAUUAAAUGCCCCUUCAUAAUUAAAACAAAGCAAAUUAAAGAAACCUCUCAGAAAAACAAAAACAGGAACUUCCUUAGUAAAGCUCAUCUUUGAAAAAACCUGCAGCUAACAUCAGACUUGGUGGUGGAAGCCUGGACAUUCCCCAUGAGCCUGGGUACCUACGCCCCAUGCAGCAUGAUGCCUGAGGUACAGGGCUCUGUGGCAGGUCAGCAAGGAAGAAAUCAAACUUGCUACUUAAAGGUGGCAGGACCUCUAUGCCAAAAUCCUGAGAAAUCUUGUCAAAAACUCCCAGAGCGAAAAGCUAGUUCACUAAAUAAAGAUAAAUUUGCAAAAUGAUUUUAUGUAUGUAUAUUUUCCAUAUAAAGCAAUGAACACAUGGACACCAAAAUUAAACAUAUGAUACUAUUGAUAUCACUCAAGAGUGAAAUACUCAGGCAUAAAUUUAAAACAAAGCUUAUAGGGUUUGCAUGCUAGAGAUGACCCUGCACUGACAAAAGAAAUUAAAGAUCUUUAAUUAUAGUCACAGAUUUGAGAACGCAACACAGU
rnacentral:lncRNA from 1 species